rnacentral:lncRNA from 1 species
AAAAAAAAAAAAAAAAAAAAAAAAAAAAAUCACAAGCAGCUGGGGAUAGAGUUUACUUAGCUGUGGCUACAGAGAUGUUUCCUUGUCAUUUCAUGUUAAGGCUUCUCUCCUUACCCAUUAAAUGACAAUCGUGCACACCGACUCUCAGUCUCGGGUGCUCUACGCAAAGCAACUACUUUUUUAUCUUAGCAUAAGGAAAUUCAAAACGACACGAAGAUGGAUGGAAGUAAAAAAAAAAUACAAAUAAAGAUUCAAUUUUCGUUGCAGCCCCUAGAAUGUGCACAUCAUGUGAGACUCAUAAAUUAGAAGUGAUAAUGGUGCCAAGUUUCCACAUCAUCAUCGAGACCCUGGCGAGACUUCAUUCCAAGAGGCAGAGUGUGGAGAGAGACCGUGAGGGAAAGAGGCCGAGAUCCUGAGCACAAGAAGGAGGAACAGCUGCGAAGAACCGGCGUCUUAAGAUCGUAGUUUUUUUUUGUUUUUUUUUUUUUUUUUUCUCCCUUCCAUCUCUUCGUUCACUCGCAUUCUGUGUAUAUACUUUCCAUGUAUGGUCUUCGCACAUAUUUUCCUUGUUUUGAAGGAAAAAAGAAAAAAAAAAAAAGGCGUCACUGGACCCUCCAGAUGACCAAAGCUGAUCAGUAUUUACGGAGACUUCCGCACGUACGUCUUCAAACUUAUUGCAAGUGGAUUUCGAACAUGUGCAUGCCCGUGGGAUUAAUUUGCAUCGUGUGCAAGUCCCCACGGCAAAGGUCCAUUAUUUCCCAACCAAAACCAACGCGAAAGCAAGAUGGUCCACAGCGGCGCUUCCCUCUCGAAACGGUCGGAGCUUCGGAGACGGCGAGAGCCAUUGUACUCUAGCCUGGCUUGAACUUUGUCAGUGUUCUGUAAUUUUCUAAAGACAGUAGAGGGUUUCAUCACAUCACUAUUAGAUUUUUCAUGUUAGUCAUCGAUGUCUCAUACGAAAGAUUUUGACGAAAGAAUAUUACGAAACGAAGAAAAAAGACUCGUUUGCUCAUCCAUUUUGAUAUAACCUAUAAAGUACUGCGCAUACUUGGCCGCGUGAGACUUUGGCAGGGAUCAUGUUUAUAAAAAAAAAAAGACGAGGUGAAGCAUCUUUAUCAUGAAACAUACACAAAUUAUAACCAAUCGAACAAUAGAUUACUAAUUUGACUUUAAUUAAAACAUUUAGAGGAAAAAAA